UAAACGGGUCGUAACUUAACGUACCGACUAGUUUACGUUUUCGUAGUUCGCAUGAUCGGGAAAGGAAAGACGGCCUUUGUGCUGUCGCUUAUGGAUGGACCCGCGGCGUAUUAGUUAGUUGGUGAGGUAACGGCUCACCAAGACGAUGAUACGUAGCCGACCUGAGAGGGUGAUCGGCCACAUUGGGACUGAGACACGGCCCAAACUCCUACGGGAGGCAGCAGUAGGGAAUCUUCCGCAAUGGACGAAAGUCUGACGGAGCAACGCCGCGUGAGUGAAGAAAAGGUUUUUCGGAUCGUAAAACUCUGUUGUCAGAGAAGAACAAGUUGGAGAGUAACUGCUCCAGCCUUGACGGUAUCUGACCAGAAAGCCACGGCUAACUACGUGCCAGCCGCAGC
rnacentral:rRNA from 1 species